GACGAACGCUGGCGGCGUGCCUAAUACAUGCAAGUCGAACGCAGUGGGGACGGGUGAGUAACACGUGGGUAACCUCCCAUCAGAGGGGAUAACACUUGGAAACAGGUGCUAAACCGAUACUGAUGGAUGGACCCGCUGGGCAUUAGCUAGUUGGUGAGGUAACGGCUCACCAAGGCACAGAUGCAUAGCCGACCUGAGAGGGUGAGCGGCCAAACUGGGACUGAGACACGGCCCAGACUCCUACGGGAGGCAGCAGUAGGGAAUCUUCGGCAAUGGGCGCAAGUCGGACCGAGCAACGCCGCGUGAGUGAAGAAGGUUUUCGGAUCGUAAAAUUCUGUUGUUAGAGAAGCGGUAUCUAACCAGAAAGCCACGGCUAACUACGUGCCAGCAGCCGCGGGAAUUC
rnacentral:rRNA from 1 species